rnacentral:rRNA from 1 species
CGGGUGAGUAACGCGUGGGUAACCUGCCCUGUCCAUGGGGAUAACAGCUGGAAACGGCUGCUAAUACCGCAUAAGCGCACGAGGAGACAUCUCCUAGUGUGAAAAACUCCGGUGGUACAGGAUGGGCCCGCGCCUGAUUAGCUGGUUGGCAGGGUAACGGCCUACCAAGGCAACGAUCAGUAGCCGGUCUGAGAGGAUGAACGGCCACAUUGGAACUGAGACACGGUCCAAACUCCUACGGGAGGCAGCAGUGGGGAAUAUUGCACAAUGGGGGAAACCCUGAUGCAGCAACGUCGCGUGAGUGAAGAAGUAUUUCGGUAUGUAAAGCUCUAUCAGCAGGGAAGAUAAUGACGGUACCUGACUAAGAAGCUCCGGCUAAAUACGUGCCAGCAGCCGCGGUAAUACGUAUGGAGCAAGCGUUAUCCGGAUUUACUGGGUGUAAAGGGUGCGUAGGUGGCAGUGCAAGUCAGAUGUGAAAGGCCGGGGCUCAACCCCGGAGCUGCAUUUGAAACUGCUCGGCUAGAGUACUGGAGAGGCAGGCGGAAUUCCUAGUGUAGCGGUGAAAUGCGUAGAUAUUAGGAGGAACACCAGUGGCGAAGGCGGCCUGCUGGACUGUUACUGACACUGAGGCACGAAAGCGUGGGGAGCAAACAGG